CCUGGGCUAACAGGCCCGAGUCUGCUACAUCCACCUUCAUCUGGAGCCUGGAUUAACAGGCCCGAAGCUUGCCAUAUCCACCUCCACCCGGAGCCUGGGUUAUCUGGCCUGAGCCUGUUUCAUCCACCUCCACCUGGGGUCUGGGCUAACAGGCCCGAGCCUGUCACAUUCACCUCCUGGAAAAUAGCUACGGUUGUGCUACUCACAAACUGUUUCUGCUGAUGUUUUUUAACAUGAAGAUUAUGGCACUUUUAAUAGUUUUAUUAUGUGUGAUGACCCUUUGGGACUUGGGACUAAGUAGUGCUCCUUGGCUUCCUAAGGAUCAGUGUACUGAGUCUUUUGAGAAGAGCAUCCUGAGGCUUCUGAACCAGGGGGACCGCAAUGAGAGCAGGGAGGUGGAGAAGAACCUCAGGGAAAGAUUCCUGUCUGCUCCUCCAGUCUUCAGACAGACCAGAAAUGUCUGCAGCUUCUUCAACUGUGACUCCAGUUACUCUACAAAACCUACUUGCUGCAGAUGUGAGUAUCAGACAAAUGCCUCAUUUCCACUGUAUGGUACAGCUCGACUCUACUCAACUCACUUGGUACUAGGUACAUUUCUAGAUUUCGUGUUUCACUGCAGAUAGUAGUACCUCAUCAAUUAGGGGUGUUGGCAAAAAAUUGAUAUAUGUAAGAAUCAUGAUUGUAUCUCGAUUCACAAUUUCC
rnacentral:lncRNA from 1 species